rnacentral:rRNA from 1 species
AACGAUGAACCUCGCUUGCGGGGGGAUUAGUGGCGAACGGGUGAGUAACACGUGAGUAACCUGCCCUUAACUCUGGGAUAAGCCUGGGAAACUGGGUCUAAUACUGGAUAUUGACUUUUCACCGCAUGGUGGGGGGUUGAAAGCUUUUGUGGUUUUGGAUGGACUCGCGGCCUAUCAGCUUGUUGGUGAGGUAAUGGCUCACCAAGGCGACGACGGGUAGCCGGCCUGAGAGGGUGACCGGCCACACUGGGACUGAGACACGGCCCAGACUCCUACGGGAGGCAGCAGUGGGGAAUAUUGCACAAUGGGCGAAAGCCUGAUGCAGCGACGCCGCGUGAGGGAUGACGGCCUUCGGGUUGUAAACCUCUUUCAGUAGGGAACAAGGCUACACGUUGUGUGGUUGAGGGUACCUGCAGAAGAAGCGCCGGCUAACUACGUGCCAGCAGCCGCGGUAAUACGUAGGGCGCAAGCGUUAUCCGGAAUUAUUGGGCGUAAAGAGCUCGUAGGCGGUUUGUCGCGUCUGCCGUGAAAGUCCGGGGCUCAACUCCGGAUCUGCGGUGGGUACGGGCAGACUAGAGUGAUGUAGGGGAGACUGGAAUUCCUGGUGUAGCGGUGAAAUGCGCAGAUAUCAGGAGGAACACCGAUGGCGAAGGCAGGUCUCUGGGCAUUAACUGACGCUGAGGAGCGAAAGCAUGGGGAGCGAACAGGAUUAGAUACCCUGGUAGUCCAUGCCGUAAACGUUGGGCACUAGGUGUGGGGGACAUUCCACGUUUUCCGCGCCGUAGCUAACGCAUUAAGUGCCCCGCCUGGGGAGUACGGCCGCAAGGCUAAAACUCAAAGGAAUUGACGGGGGCCCGCACAAGCGGCGGAGCAUGCGGAUUAAUUCGAUGCAACGCGAAGAACCUUACCAAGGCUUGACAUGAACUGGAAACACUUGGAAACAAGUGCCCCGCUUGCGGUCGGUUUACAGGUGGUGCAUGGUUGUCGUCAGCUCGUGUCGUGAGAUGUUGGGUUAAGUCCCGCAACGAGC